CAGAAAACUUCUGUGACCAAGCGUAUGGGGGGCUUUCCCCAUACACCAAGAAAGCAGUUCGACACUAUCCACCUGGAAGUCACGUCAGAUCCUACAGAACUUGUCAACAACUCAGUCCCACAAAAGUGCCCCUGACUUGAGACAUCAAUUGCAAGUCCGAGCUUCUGGAACUUCCCACCAACCAGCUAUUAAUUGGCAUUCCCAUGAAGCUCCUUUUGGGUUCAGGGCAGCAGGCAAGAAGAACCCAUCAGGCUGUGAUACCUGUGCCACUUGCUCAUGAAGGGCCACCAGCUGCUGGAGCCGUACCUGAUGGUGAGUGUGAACGAGGUGCACGUGGGCCAGACCAGCACCAAUGGAGGACCACCAAACCCAUGUACAAUGAGGAGCUCUAGACUAACGCCACUGAUGGCGGCCGUCAUCCAUAAGAUGCCCCUGGGCUAUGACCACUUCAUGUAAACGUGUAUGCUGUAAUUAAUUCUUUCUUUCUUUCUCUCUCUCUUUCUUUUUCUUUCUUUCCUUUCCCUCCCUCCCUCUCUCUCUCUUUCUUUCUUUUCUUUCUUGAGAUGGAGUCUCACUCUGUCUCCCAGGCUGGAGUGCAGUGGUGCCAUCUCGGCUUACUGCAACCUCCACCUCCCAGGUUCAAGUGAUUCUCCAGCCUCAGCCUCCCGAGUAGUUGGGACUACAGCCACCACAUCUGGCUAAUUUUUUGGUUUUUUUUUUGUAUUUUUAGUAGAGAUGGGGUUUCACCGUAUUGGGCAGGCUGGUCUCGAACUCCUGACCUCAGGUGAUCCACCUGCCUCAGCCUCCCAAAGGGCUGGGAUUACAGGUGUGAGCCACCAUGCCUGGCCACAUGUACCCUGUAAUUGUAUCACUGGUAAACUGAGUUCUUUCCCUACUUUGUAUCGGUUGCAAAGAAAAAACAACCAAUUGGAAAAACAAAAGGCAAGCAGGUUUUAUCUCUGGCCAACAAUAGAGAGCUCUUGCUCUAAAGCAAUGUUCCCCAACCUUUUUGGCAGCAGGAACCAGUUUCAUGGAAGACAAUUUUUCCACAGACCAGGGUGGGGGGAUGGUUUUGGGAUGACUUAAGUGCAUUACAUUUAUCGUGUACUUUAUUGCUAUUAUUAUUACAUUGUAAUAUAUAAUGAAAUAAUUAUACAACUCUCCAUAAUGUAGAAUCAGUGGGAGCCCUAAGCUUGUUUUCCUGCAACUAAACGGUCCCAUCCAUGGGUGAUGGGAGACAGUGACAGAUCAUCAGGCAUUAAAUUCUCAUAAGGAGCAUGCAGCCUAGAUCCCUCACAUGCAUAGUUCACAAUAGGGUCCACACUCCUAGGACAAUCUAAUGCCACUGCUGAUCUGACAGGAGGUGGAGCUCAGGUAGUAAUGCCAGCAAUGGGGAGUAGCUGUAAAUACAGGUGAAGCUUCACUCGCUUGCUUGCCCACCUGCUACUCACCUCCUGCUGUGCAACUUGGUUCCUAACAGGCCACAGGCCAGUACCAGUGAAUGGCCCAGGGGUUGGGGACCCCUGCUCUAAAGACCCCUUCUCCCAGAGCCAUAGGAAGCUGGGGAAUUUUAUGGAGUUAGAUGAGGGAAGGGGAGGUAUGUAAAUAUGUGCUGGGAGCCCAAGAUCAUAAACAUGCAUCUUCAUACUAUGCAUGUUCAGAAAAUGGUGGGCAUUUUCUUCUAUGGGUGGGAUUUUGAUAUUGUAAUGAUAUCUUAAUGAUCUAAAGGUAACAAGGAGCUUCCGGUUCUGGUUGGCACCAGUUUUGCACCAGCCUUAUCUUCCUCUGGUAAUUGACGAAGGGUUCUGAAGCUCCUGUGGCUUCUCAGGUCAUCUGGUGUUCUUUUAAGCAAGGUACCUAUAGAUAAAAAGACUAGAAAAACACUGUUUAAGAAAAAAUAAUGAGCUUUCACAGCUGUUUAUGGUUUAAGAAAAUAGGCUGGGUGCGGUAGCUCACGCCUGUAAUCCCAGCACUUUGGGAGGCCAAGGUGGGCAGAUAACUGGAGGCCAGGAGUUCGAAACCAGCCUGGCCAAUGUGGUGAGACCCUCCCCAUCUCUACUAAAAAUACAAAAAAAAAUUAGCCAGGGGUGGUGGCUGGCACCUGUAAUCCCAGCUACUCCGGAGGCUGAGGCACAAGACUCUCUUGAACCAGGGAGGUGGAGGUCACAGUGAGCCGAGAUCGCACCACUGCACGCCUGGGCGACUGAGGGAGACUCUGUCUCAAAAAAAAAAAAGAAAGAAAAUAGUGAGCUUUCCCAGCUAUAUUUCUAGGGCUGCCCUGGUAACAACUCCAGUGUGGACUAAAAGGAAGAAGCUGAGGCAAAAUUAAUAUAACUAGAGAAUUUAUUUGGGCCAAGCUUGAGGAUUGCAAUACAGGAGCAUAGAUUCAAAAGAUUGCUCUGAGCUAUUUUUUUGUUUUUUUUUUUCACUGGGAGUGGCUGUGCACUGCCGGCAUGGCCAACACCUUGAGCACCUUCCAAGGCUAGGUGAAUCUGCAGCCAGAGAGGAAAGCAUUUGUGGUAAUAACCCUAAUAGUGCAAGACAUGGUGGGUCAAGCCUGUUAUCCCAGGUACUUAGGAGGCUGAGGUGAGAGGAUUAUCUGCGACUAGGAGUUCAAGACCAGCCUGAGCAAUAUGGUGAGAUCCUGUCUCUAAAAUAAAAAUUAGCCAGGAGUGGGGGUGCAGUCCUGUGGUUCCAGCUAUUUGGAAGGCUGAGGUGGAGGAUUUCUUGAGCCAGGAGUUCAAGGCUGCAGUAAGCUAUGAUCGUACCACUGCACUCCAGCUCAAGUGACAGAACGAGACCAUGUCUCCAAACCCAACCCCUCCCCACCAAUAAAACAGAUCAAUGGAAACAAGAUUAUUCUCACAUACCUGAGGCAGCCCACCUACUGCUCUUACUGCAGGAAGUUUAUCUGGGGAGUAUUUGGGAAACAGGGUUAUCAAUGCCAAGUGUGCACAUGUGUUACCCAUAAACACUGCCAUCAUCUAACCAUUACAGCCUGUAUUUGCCAAAACAAUAUUAACCAAGAAGAUUCAAAGAUUGCCAAACAGAGGUUCAGAAUCAACAUCUCACACAACUUCAGCAUCCACAACUACAAAUCACUACCGCUUUGCAAUCACUGUGGCGCCUUGCUUUGGGGGAUAAUGG
rnacentral:lncRNA from 10 species